rnacentral:sRNA from 1 species
CUGUGGGGAAUUGUUGAGGAGAGAGGAAGUGUGUAUGGCUAUCAAUCCCACCAGCAGUGAUGAUCAUACCCUCUCCUGCAAGCGCUUCUGUGCCUACACCAACGACCAUAUGAGGAGUGACGCCAUCUUGCAUAUCCUUGUUGCCCGCUUUUCCAAUGCCAUGGAUCUUGCCAUUUUUGAUUCCAAUAUCUGCUUUGUAAAUCCCAGUGUAAUCGAUGAUAAGGGCAUUGGUGAUGACCAAAUCUAGUGUGUUUUCAUCUGGGCUAUUACUUUGUCCCAUACCCUCGCGGAUGG